rnacentral:rRNA from 1 species
CACAUGCAAGUCGAGGGGUAACGAUGUCUUCGGACAGGCGACGACCGGCGCACGGGUGAGUAUCGCGUUUGUAACCUACCUUUAACUGGAGAAUAGCCCGAAGAAAUUCGGAUUAAUACUCCAUAAUACUAUGAACUGGCAUCUUUUUAUAGUUAAAGCUCCGGCGGUUAAAGAUGGGCAUGCGUAACAUUAGUUUGUUGGUGAGGUAACGGCUCACCAAGACUACGAUGUUUAGGGGGUCUGAGAGGAUGGUCCCCCACACUGGUACUGAGACACGGACCAGACUCCUACGGGAGGCAGCAGUGAGGAAUAUUGGUCAAUGGGCGCAAGCCUGAACCAGCCAUGCCGCGUGAAGGAUGACAGCGCUAUGCGUUGUAAACUUCUUUUGUACAGGAAGAAACACUUCUACGUGUAGAAGCUUGACGGUACUGUACGAAUAAGCAUCGGCUAACUCCGUGCCAGCAGCCGCGGUAAAACGUAGGGGACGAGCGUUAUCCGGAUUUACUGGGCGUAAAGUGCGUUGAGGCGGUUCCGUAAGUUGGACGUGAAAGCCCUGGGCUCAACCC